GACGAACGCUGGCGGCGUGCUUAACACAUGCAAGUCGAACGGUGACCCAGGGCUUGCCCUGGUGAUCAGUGGCGAACGGUGAGUAACACGUGGGCAACCUGCCCCUGACUUCGGGAUAACUCCUCGAAAGAGGAGCUAAUACCGGAUACGACCACUUCGGACAUCCGAUGGUGGUGGAAAGUUUUUCGGUCAGGGAUGGGCCCGCGGCCUAUCAGCUAGUUGGUGGGGUAAUGGCCUACCAAGGCGACGACGGGUAGCCGGCCUGAGAGGGCGACCGGCCACACUGGGACUGAGACACGGCCCAGACUCCUACGGGAGGCAGCAGUGGGGAAUAUUGCGCAAUGGGCGAAAGCCUGACGCAGCGACGCCGCGUGAGGGAUGAAGGCCUCGGUUGUAACCUCUUUCAGCAGGACGAAGCGAAAGUAGACGGUACCUGCAGAAGAAGACACCGGCUAACUACGUGCCAGCAGCCGCGGUAAU
rnacentral:rRNA from 1 species